UUCGCAAUGUCCGAAAGGGUGACGAAGCGACGCCGCGUGUGGGAAGAAGGCCUUCGGGUUGUAAACCACUGUUGGGAGUUAGGAAGUGUGGAGGUGUUAAUAGCGCUUUCACUUGACUAAAGCUCCAGAGGAAGCCACGGCUAACUCUGUGCCAGCAGCCGCGGUAAUACAGAGGCGGCAAGCGUUGUUCGGAAUUAUUGGGCGUAAAGAGCACGUAGGCGGCUCUGCAAGUCAGCUGUGAAAGCCUUCUGCUUAACGGAAGAACGGCAGUUGAAACUACAGGGCUUGAGUGCGGGAGGGGAGAGUGGAACUUCUGGUGGAGCGGUGAAAUGCGUAGAUAUCAGAAGGAACGCCGGCGGCGAAAGCGGCUCUCUGGUCCGUAACUGACGCUGAGUGUGCGAAAGCUAGGGGAGCAAACGGGAUUAGAUACCCCGGUAGUCCUAGCCGUAAACGAUGGGCACUAAGUAGAGGGGUU
rnacentral:rRNA from 1 species